rnacentral:sRNA from 1 species
CACAGUGUUAGAAUGUGUUUUAUGUCAGAUGGUAAAUUUUUUUUCAAAUUUAAAAUGUUCCCCUUCCCAUUUCAUAAAUUUAUAUUUUGAAUUAGUGAGCACAUGUUUGAAAGCGGAGUUCGUAGCAUGGCUAAUAUUUGGUAAGCUGUCAUACCACGACGGCAUUAUCUAAGACCCCAUUUUGUUCAACUGCUUCCUUUAAAUCUCUAACCCAUAAAUGUAUGGGUGCAGUGGCAAUGGAAGAAAUGAAUGAAGAAUGGAUGAAUGAAUGAAUGCAUGUUUGUUCAAAUGUUUCAGAUGCUUGCAACUCAUUGGCUUAAAGUAACAAAAAUGUUUCUGCAACAAAUGUCUUUCAAAGUAUGCAAACGGACAAGUGGAUAGGAGCAACAAUAUCGCCCGAUAUCAGUUAAAAGAAUGCUUAUUUCUAUGAAGAGAUGGAUGGACAGAUGGAUGCCACAUCAUGAUCUGGAAUCGUCUGACCUUACUGCUACAUGGCGAAAAUAUUUACAAGAGUUUUAUUCCAAUGAAAUACAUGUCACAAAAUUUGGUAAUUUUAUUAAUUAAAUGUAAAAGAAUCUGUAUUUACGGGCAAACCGCUAA